AGAGUUUGAUCCUGGCUCAGGAUGAACGCUGGCGGCGUGCCUAACACAUGCAAGUCGAACGGGGUUAUUUAGGAAUGUUCCUUCGGGGACAGGAAUUCUUAACCUAGUGGCGGACGGGUGAGUAACGCGUGAGCAAUCUGCCUUUAGGAGGGGGAUAACAGUCGGAAACGGCUGCUAAUACCGCAUGAUACACUGAGAAGGCAUCUUCUUAGUGUCAAAGAUUUUAUCGCCUUUAGAUGAGCUCGCGUCUGAUUAGCUGGUUGGCGGGGUAACGGCCCACCAAGGCGACGAUCAGUAGCCGG
rnacentral:rRNA from 1 species